UGGCGGACGGGUGAGUAACGCGUGGGUAACCUGCCUUACACGAGGGGGAUAACACCUGGAAACAGGUGCUAAUACCGCAUAAGCGCACAGGGCCGCAUGGCCCGGUGUGAAAAACUCCGGUGGUGUAAGAUGGACCCGCGUCUGAUUAGCUUGUUGGCGGGGUAGAGGCCCACCAAGGCGACGAUCAGUAGCCGGCCUGAGAGGGUGGACGGCCACAUUGGGACUGAGACACGGCCCAAACUCCUACGGAAGGCAGCAG
rnacentral:rRNA from 1 species